GACGAACGCUGGCGGCGUGCCUAACACAUGCAAGUCGAACGGAUCAGUGCUUCGCACUGAUAAUUUGAGGGACGGAGCCCUUAAACCCCUCAAAAAAGGUUUUUGUAAGAUGCUGAGUGAAACUAGUUUUAAAGAUCUUUAAGGGGGUUUGGGGGUAGAACCCCCAAAAUACCAGUGCGGAGCACUGGUUAGUGGCGAACGGGUGAGUAACGCGUGGGUAAUCUACCCUGUAAGUGGGGGAUAACCCUCCGAAAGGAGGGCUAAUACCGCAAAUAUCUUCACCUCACAAGGGGUAAAGAUUAAAGAUGGCCUCUAUCUUAUGCUAUCACUUGAGGAUGAGCCCGCGUCCUAUUAGUUAGUUGGUAGGGUAAUGGCCUACCAAGACAGCAAUGGGUAGCCGGUCUGAGAGGAUGUACGGCCACACUGGGACUGAGAUACGGCCCAGACUCCUACGGGAGGCAGCAGUGGGGAAUAUUGCGCAAUGGGGGAAACCCUGACGCAGCGACGCCGCGUGGACGAGGAAGGCCUUCGGGUUGUAAAGUCCUGUUCUGGGGGAAGAAACCUUAAGGGUCCAAUACACCCUUAAGCUGACGGUACCCCAAGAGAAAGCUCCGGCUAAUUAUGUGCCAGCAGCCGCGGUAAUACAUAAGGAGCAAGCGUUGUCCGGAAUUAUUGGGCGUAAAGAGCUCGUAGGCGGUCUUAAAAGUCAGGUGUUAAAUUAUCAGGCUCAACCUGGUAAAGUCAUCUGAAACUCUAAGACUUGAGGGUAGAAGAGGAAAGUGGAAUUCCCGGUGUAGCGGUGAAAUGCGUAGAUAUCGGGAGGAAUACCAGUGGCGAAGGCGGCUUUCUGGUCUAUCUCUGACGCUGAGGAACGAAAGCUAGGGGAGCAAACGGGAUUAGAUACCCCGGUAGUCCUAGCCGUAAACGAUGGAUACUAGGUGUGGGAGGUAUCGACCCCUUCUGUGCCGCAGCUAACGCAUUAAGUAUCCCGCCUGGGGAGACGGUCGCAAGGCU
rnacentral:rRNA from 1 species